rnacentral:tRNA from 1 species
UCCCUGGAGGUCCAGUGGUUAGGGCUCCAAGCUUUUGCUGUGGAGGAUGCAGGUUCAAUCCCUGGUCAGGGAA